CUUUUUCUGUUACGGGUCCUUCCUAUUUUGCGCUGGUGGUGCGUACGUUAUAAACCUUCACCCUCACAGCUCAGUUCUCUUUCUCUCUCAAAGAAUCAAAUGUUUCUUCAGAUUUUUCAGCUUACUUCUCAUUUUCCAAACAAAGGGUAGGUGGAGUUCAUGAGAUUAUCAUCUAGUUCUGUUUUUUGUACUGGGGCAUGAUGGGAGUCGAAACUGUGACAGAAUCAUUUUUUAACUUGUGGAGAACUUCGCGGAAGAGCUCUACUUCAGAGCCCGAGAGGAAGAAUGUUAUAGGAAUUCUUGCAUUUGAAAUUGCAACUUUGAUGUCUAAGGUGGUUAACUUGUGGCAGUGUCUAAGUGAAAGGCGAAUCGACAAGUUAAGAGAAGAAAUCUCGAGUUCACUUGGCAUUCAGAAGCUUGUUGCUGAAGAUGACAAAUAUCUUAUGGAUCUUGCUAUUGCUGAGAUAAUUGACAAUUUGGGAUCUCUGACGAAGUCAUUGGCUACACUCGGUAAGAGAUGUGCUGAUCCAGUUUAUCACAAUCUUGAACGAAUAUUUGAAGAUCCAGUCGAAAUCGAACUCAAUGGGUGUGCAUGGAGAUAUAAGCUUAAGAAAAUGGAGCGCAAGGUUAAGAAAAUGGAGAGAUUUGUUGCAGCCACGACUCAAUUGUAUCAGGAGCUCGAAGUGCUCGCAGAGCUUGAGCAAACAUUGAGGCGGAUGCAGGCUGGUGCUAGUUCAGGUCAGAUGAAACUGCUCGAGUUUAGGCAAAAGGUUAUAUGGCAACGAGAGGAAGUGAAGAAUUUGAGAGAAAUGUCUCCUUGGGUUAGAACUUAUGACUAUACUGUUCGUCUUUUGCUUCGAUCUAUUUUCACAAUAAUCAUGAGGAUUAAGUACCUAUUUGGGACAAAUCAGUCUGAAGUUUCCGGAGGAAGCAACCAUUUUGAGGGCAUCGAUAACGGUUAUCUUGAUCGUAGCCGGUCUAUAUCUGCUCUUACUCUGUCGUCUGUUUAUCCAUCUGAAAAUAGCACGUCGGAGUCUUAUUUAGGUUCUAUAGGCAGGUCAUUUUCAAGCCUUGGUCUAAGUGGAAAUAAAGAUAGACCAACUAAUAGAAAAUCCCUUGCUCGACAGUCAUCUGUCUUUUGCGGAAAGCCACCACAGCCAAGAUCCAGGCGAUUUGCUAAUGUUGGAUCUUUUAAAGGAUGCAUGAAUAGUGGCACUGAUUCACCUGUUCUUGAGAGUUGCAUGCCUUCCAACAGUGAUGUAUCAAAAUCAGAUGACAGUUUCCAAAAAGAUACUGAUAAGUUUGAAGACACAAAUCCUGUUCCCGCCUCCUCCAAUGGCGUAAUUUUGACUAAAGGUUCUCUUUUCAAUUUCAAGCGUAAGCUGUUAAUCGUUCCUGAAGAUACUCUUGGUUAUGCUGCUUUAACACUCAAGUACGCGAACAUCAUCAUACUUCUAGAGAAACUGGCGUCGGCUCCACAUUUAAUCAGUCUUGAUGCUAGAGAUGAUCUAUACAAUAUGCUGCCUGCUAGCAUUAGAAACUCUCUAAGGUUAAGAUUAAAAUUGUUCGCUAAAUCAUUGACUUCAUCUGUUUAUGAUGCUUCUCUUGCAGCAGAGUGGAGUUUGGCACUCGGAAGGAUAUUAGAAUGGUUGUCUCCACUUGCUCAUAACACGAUAAGGUGGCAUUCUGAACGGAACUUUGAGAAACAACGACUGGUUUAUGGGGCUAACGUGCUUCUCGUGCAGACUCUCUACUUUGCAAACCAAACCAGAACUGAAGCUGCAGUCAUUGAACUUCUCAUGGGUCUGAAUUACCUUUCAAGAUUCGGAAGAGAGGUUAGUGCAAAACCGUUGAUGGAGUCAUCUUGCGGUAGAACUAGUAGUGAGUAUUUUAUCCACAGGGAUAGUAACUCGAACGCGUACAACCACAUGUAUCAUGAUUAAUACACCUAAAUGACUAAUCCAGAAUCACUCAAAGAUGAGUUUGUUGUUUGCUUGAUUGAGUUUGUAGUGAGAUUUUGUAUAUUCUUUGUUUCUUUCUUGCUGCUGCAAACUGUUCAUUCCUCAUGUUGACAUAAAACUUGUGCUCUUCUAUUGAUUUAUAUAUACUCAAGAACUUUGUUAUUUGGAG
rnacentral:misc_RNA from 1 species